rnacentral:rRNA from 1 species
CGGCAGGCCUAACACAUGCAAGUCGAGGGGUAGAGUUCUUCGGAACUUGAGACCGGCGCACGGGUGCGUAACGCGUAUGCAAUCUACCUUAUACAGGGGAAUAGCCCAGAGAAAUUUGGAUUAAUGCCCCAUAGUGUUAUUGAAUCGCAUGGUUUAAUAACUAAAGUUCCAACGGUAUAAGAUGAGCAUGCGUCCCAUUAGUUAGUUGGUAAGGUAACGGCUUACCAAGACAAUGAUGGGUAGGGGUCCUGAGAGGGAGAUCCCCCACACUGGUACUGAGACACGGACCAGACUCCUACGGGAGGCAGCAGUGAGGAAUAUUGGUCAAUGGGCGCAAGCCUGAACCAGCCAUGCCGCGUGCAGGAAGACGGUCCUAUGGAUUGUAAACUGCUUUUAUACAGGAAGAAACAACUCCACGUGUGGAGGCUUGACGGUACUGUAGGAAUAAGGAUCGGCUAACUCCGUGCCAGCAGCCGCGGUAAU